rnacentral:rRNA from 1 species
AGAGUUUGAUCAUGGCUCAGGAUGAACGCUAGCUACAGGCUUAACACAUGCAAGUCGAGGGGAAACGAUAUUGGAAGCUUGCCUCCGAUAGGCGUCGACCGGCGCACGGGUGAGUAACGCGUAUCCAACCUGCCCACCACUUGGGGAUAACCUUGCGAAAGUAAGACUAAUACCCAAUGACGUCUCUAGAAGACAUCUGAAAGAGAUUAAAGAUUUAUCGGUGAUGGAUGGGGAUGCGUCUGAUUAGCUUGUUGGCGGGGUAACGGCCACCAAGGCUACGAUCAGGUAGGGGUUCUGAGAGGAACGGUCCCCCACAUUGGAACUGAGACACGGUCCAAACUCCGUACGGGAGCA